AAAGCGGACAUGGAGCGCAUCCCACUCCCACACCACGCCACCCUUUGUCUUCUCAAACUACAACUUGAGCCGUUUAAACUUUUAAAAAUACGAGCAGGAGGGGACCAUCUCUUAUCAGUUUACCUUUCAGACUACUUUGUGGAAGAUUGGGAGUGAGGAGCUCGGCCAGAUUUGCAUACCACUGCACCAGCUCAGAGUGCACAUGCAUGGCAUGCCGGGGAGCGUCUGUGACUGGAGCUGACGGUGGACGGAAAACAGACCCUCUCUCCCACGCCGGGUUUCGCCACCGCACCUGAACUUUUUCCUGACCCAAGCCGAGGCCCAGAGAGUCAAGUGUGAAGUUAUUUGGGGUCAAAAACAAGGAGAGGAUGGAGACUACAAAACCAAUUACGAACAUAGCUAAACCUCCGUUUUCAGCUGGGAAAGUUUUGGAUACUUUUUAGGAUGGGUGUUUGUCCUUUUUAGCAGUUUCAAGUUUCAAAGUUUAUUCGCCACUGCACAGAAUUCAACAGGUGUAAAACCGUACAGUGGAAUUCUUGAUUUGAGAGCUAGUUCCAAUAAUCCGUGAUAAUACUAUAGUAAUAGUAUACACUAGUGAUAAUACUAUAGGAAAUACCCGAACAUAUAAUACAAAAUGCAAUCAAAAAUAAAAACCACACAAGAUGAUUAGCAUAUUACAGCAUUUGGUUAGUUUCUUUGUUUAUACUUUUUCUGAGUUAUUUCUUCAGAUAUAUCAAACUCCCAACAUUCCCCGGCCACCAAGAGGACUUGAGCUGUCGACCUCUCCACACCCUCUGUCUUUGGGUGUUCGCCAGACGGCGGUGGCUAUAGGCUACAUAUCUCCCCACAAUGUUGACAUUUGAAGCUCUUAACAGCGAGCCUUGGGUUACCGAUACACUCAGCAGAAGAUAACUCUUUCUCAGGGGUUUACAUUGACCAACAUCAAGGCUAAUGCGAAAUUCAACGCCUUAAACUGGCUUGGCGUCCAAGCUAAGACAAAGAAGCCUCGGUGGAUCUCGCUAUACACGACUACACGGACUGACUUCUGUUCUGCUGAUUUGUUUCAGUACGUAUUGUAGAAAUAAAAUUGUAUUAAUGUUGACUUUUUGUUGUAAUACUUUAAAAUGUAUUUCAAUUGCCACUUUUGAUAGGUUAACGUUAUAUUUAGUGUUUUGAAGAGCUGAUUAUAACACUUUUAAGGUAAGAACAAGAGACUAAACUUCCUAAUUUGACCUCAGAGCAAUAAUAAUGCUGUAUAAUAAUAAUAAUAAUCAUCAUAAUAUUAAUAAUAUUAACAAUAAUAGUAGGCCUACACAUUACCAAUGGCACAUUUGAUUCAACUAGCCUCUGGCAAGCUAAAACUAAAACUAACCGCUCAAAGUCAUUUUGAACAUAUUUUUAGACUUAUCGUUAUUACACGUGUUUAUAUUGUAUGUUACAUUAAUGUUCAAUAACAGACUUAUAGCCUAAAGUCAGUCUUUCGUGGACAGGAUGGUGAUCUGUUAAUGUUUAACUUAGUUCUUGAUUGUUCUUUGUGGCUUCUCUGUAUAAGGCGCCCAUUCAAUAAUGUGGAUAACUCAUUCAUGCACAAUAGCCUGAUAUUUGCCUUUUAAAACUUUGCAUGUGUGGCUCACAAGACCAGACAUGGGUUAACAUGCACAUAAAUUGUUAAUAAAAAUGUAUUUCUACAAAAUACUUUGAAAACAGUUAUCUAUACCACAUGAAAACGGAAUAUAAAGUCAAUGAUUACUGUACUACUUCUACGUGAAUGCAUUGUUUUUACCAGAAUCUUACAAUCCUUUCAAUUAAUUUCAACGCAACUUUAUUUAUACAAUCAGAGACAAAUGUGACAGUAAGUUGAGUGUGCAAAAAGCAUGGAACCUCUUCCUUGCUCAGGGUCAUUGGGUUGCUCUAAGGUAAUCUUGUGAUCACUUAUGUCCAAUGCCAAUAUACAUUUGAGUUCAUUGCAGUGUUUAUUUUCAAUUAGGCCUACUUUAUUUAUGCUCAAUUAACGAAGUGGCAUUUCUGGGCUCUACACCCUUGAAUGUAAGCCACAGGUCAGAAGCGAACAAGAAGUCUCACUGCACAGCUUUGUCAAUCGCAGCAGUCCUAAAACAACGGGGUAUCAGUUCAUAUUUUAUCAAUUAAAUGUUCAGAAUUAUAAAAGUUCGUUUCAGCCACAUUGCAAUUCCGUAUCCCCCUCCUCUUCCUUUUGAGUCAUUUUAGGGUAAAUUUAGCCAGAAAUGUUAUAUUAUGGAAAAGCACAGAUGCUAUGCAGAAGUUUGUACUUUUCCACAUGCUGAUGCGCCUUGUGUAUAACGCCUGGGUGUGAGCCUUGAUCACAAGUUGAAUGCCAUAUCCUACCAUAAUAACUGCCUCAUAUAGUCUAUUAUAAUUGAAAAAGUACAUCUUCAUAUGAGUAAUAUUCAGAUUCCAGGUAACAAUUUAGAAAAUGAUAGUUUUCAAGUUUUUAAAUUGCUACGUGACGGUAACGCUUACGCAUUUUUGCCACAAGGAACCAGUCUCCUAGCAGAGUCUAACCCACAAAGCUGCGGGUUAACAGGAGGUUGAUGCUGGUGAGCAAGAAAGCCUUAUAACAAAGCAGCAGCUGAAUAUACACUGUUACAAAUCAGUCACAACCAAAUACCAAUGACGUGGACAGUUACAUUGCUCUCAACCUUUAACAUAUCGCUAUGUAAAGAAAUGAAAAACAAGUUAUUUAGGACAGAAAGUGUCCAAAUCUACUCACAAUCAGACAACAUGGGCUCUAUCCACCAGGGAACGGACGGACAGGAGCGAGAAUUUAGCAGAGAGGAAUAUUUGAUUCGUGCUCUGCCGAGGAUCAUUGCAAAUGAAAAUACUGCCGAUUUUCAUAUCUAUUUCUGACCCGAGGGCAUUCAUUAUUGAAUACGUCACAUCUGGCCUCCAGAACGCAUGUAGCCAAGACCACCUGAGAGCCUAUCUAUCAAGAUAAUAUCCAAGAAGCUGGCUGCGGAUGACACUGAACUUGGCCUAAAGCGAGCUCUGCUGGUGGCUCCGGGAGGAUGCAGAUUUAUCUUUCUGCUAUGGCUGACCUCGCGGUGAACCGCGCGCUGGGGACGGUUCUUUUUUUCUGCCUGGCAUUGUCUGCCUUGCUGUGCAACGCAUAAGGGACCCCAAUUUGGACAUUUUAAUUGUGUAACAAUGGUGUAAAUUUCUCCCCAGACGUCACAAUGAUAAUGGCAUAGAAUAAUGGUUUUACUUAUAUUUUCUACACCACAAACUGUAAUGGAAAUAAAGUUACAUUUCGUUGCAUUGGC